GUGGGGUGGGGUGGACAAACGUGGGACAAAUGGCAUUCUUCAUUCUUUGUAUUCUUUGUCACUAACAAAUUUUGCCAAUCUACCUUUUUGUUUCUGAAAGGUUUCAGAUUCAUUCUGACCCCAUGACAGAAUGAACCGUCAAAGGACUAAACACAAAUAUGACAACUAAAUGGACAAGCAGGACACAAGGCAAGUGACAGCCCUACCCGUGACCCCAUUGAGGACAAGCACUACAGAAAAUGGAGGGAUGUAUUUUACAAACCAUCAGAGAUUGUAGGUGUGGGAUGGACUUGGAGCGAAAAAUGAUCACGUUGACAGCAGUCUUGUCCACUUUCCAACUUCUAGACAACUUGGCUUCAAGAAUGUAGACAAUCUUUCCGUGGGUGCCCUUGAAACUUGAAGGCAUGUUCCUGUAAAUAGAGAAGCAGAUACACAGCAGCCGCCAUUACUGGAAGCGGCGUUACGCAAGGCUGGAAAUAAGAGGAUGAAAAUACAUUGAAAAGCAAAACUUUGAAUCACCGAUGGAGCAAAGUCCGCCGCCACGAGGUCCGCCGCCGCCACGGCCUCGCAAGCGAGAUCUUCCGCUGCCCCGGCAGCGAGGUCCGCCACUGGUCAAUCCAAUCGGUCGCGGGGGAAAAAAUAUUCCGUGUUUGCCAUUGUGCAAGACAAGGAAAUGAAGUGGGGCUUUCUAUCUGUGUUUAU